UCGUUCUCUUGUGGUGUAACUCUUCUUAGUUACUACGGUAUUCUUCCCGUCGAAUGUUCGACCACAUUUCCAUGGUCGUUUUGCAAUCCGUUACAAAGGCUGGCUUGUUAGGUAUCGUGGUAUAUACGACAUGCACGAUUUUACACUCUGGCGCUUGUGGUCGGUCAGGCCGCAAACAUUUUUCGCGCCUCACAGAGACGAGCAACUCUUCGCGACGCGAUUGAUCUUCCGAGGAACAUGCCAGAUCGUCGGAAACUUUCUACAAACAGGUGCAGGUGACGAAAGGAUACAAACGCACACGACCUCGGAUCCUACAUGGACACACGGCUCCUUCGGCAGGCAGCCAGGCGCUAACGUCGAUGCAUGUAGCUGAUGGCAGCGGUCAGAUCGUGCUAUGUUUCUGCGUCAUCGGACCGCGUUCUCCUUUCAUCCUUUUUCAUCGUUCCCUUCUCACUAGGUAGACAACAAUGAUAGAAUGAUAUCUCUACGGAGUGGGGAAUACGGAAAAAUGGGAUUAGCGACCAGAGAAAGAAUCCGAAAAAGUCGGAAAACUCUGAAAGAAAAAGAGAGAACAGGGUAGAAGGUUGGGUAAAACAAAGAAGAUGGAACAGGGACGAAAGUAUGUUGGAAAGAGACGGAAAAAGGAAAUGUUGGCGAAGGAGAGGACAAAGGAGAAAGAGGGGACAAGAAAAAAGAAAGAGAGAGGAAUUCUCGAGAGAUCAAGUUAGAGUACUGGCACAAAAAACCUGUCCCGCAUAAUUACAUUAUCGGUCACAUCUCGUUCGACUUCUGUCCACAGUCACACAGCCCUUGCUUGCGAAAACGAAUGCGUUCCCAUACAAUACAGGCUACCGUUGCUUCGAGGACGAAGCAGCAAGGUCUCCAACGAAACUGCAGGGGGUCCUGCCAUUGCUUCUUUAUCCUAUCUUUUACGGACCUUUGGUAGAAAGUACCGAAUAUUCUGACAAAUUGAAUAGUCAGCAUUGAACAUUUUCUGUGAUGAUUGCUUUAGUUCGGGCCAUUACUCUCUUUAAUGGAACAUGUUGAUUGCUGUGGUGGAAAACGAUGAGAACUCGGUGGUCAAAGAAUGAUCAAUGGUCCUAGAUUCAUAUUUUUUGGUUGUUUCAAGAUUUUGAUUUAUUUAUUUAUUAUUCAUAAUUUAUUCUUUUCUUUAUUGACAUGGGAGAUGUUACACAGGCAUUGGAAUGCGCGUUAUCAUAGUCGCUGGUAAACAGUCGAACACAAAGCGAAGUCACUUUGAAAUUUUACAUAACAUUUUUAACGCAAUGUGAUACAUACUCUCAAUCUCUGUUGCACUACAGGGAGAUGAAAGAAUCUUUAACCAGAUUGCUAAACUCUGAAAACUCUACUCCGUAGAAAAAAUAUUGAAACGAUGACAUCGCUGAAAAAAUGCAUAAUGAUGUAUCCCUUCUAGGAGCACUUUUAUGCAUCUUUUCAUCGGAAAACGCAUUAGUAUCUUAAUAGUACUAAGGUAAUGUACAAUCAAAAGUUAGCACGAUAGACGCGCACAUGUAUGAACGAGCGUAUUCUCUUUGUUUUGUUACUUUUGUCACAGUUUUAUAGGUAUAACAUGUGCUGUCAUGUCGUUGUAAAAUGAACACGGUUUUGUAGAAAGUCUCGCAUAUAUCAUACUUUUUUUUUAAAUAUAAAUCUGUGCUCACUACGCUAACACGGUGUCAUUCCUUCGACGGUAUAAAUAAAACUGUUAAUAUAAUUAUAAAAAAAAUCAGAUCCAACACACGAAUGCGUCGUGCUAGACGCUCAUCGUACCUAUCGUGAAUACAAAAAACUUUCUAUGUAUAUAACAAGUGAAAUAAAGAAAAAGAAAGAUAUCAAAAUAUAUUAAAAGUAUCAAAAGACCAGUAACACGUACGAAAAUAUUGGAAGUUCACAUAAGUUACCAUGUGUUUCAGCCAACUAGAAAUUCAAAUCCUGAUAGAUAUCAUUUGGAUACACUUUGAAACUAUACAGAAGAUGCUACGAUUAGAAAAAUACGUUGAAACAUAAUUAUAUACGACUAUAUUUUGACUUGGACGUCGGAUGCUUAUCCUGGCAAAUAUGUAAUUUAA